rnacentral:rRNA from 1 species
UGGGGAAUAUUGCACAAUGGGCGCAAGCCUGAUGCAGCCAUGCCGCGUGUGUGAAGAAGGCCUUCGGGUUGUAAAGCACUUUCAGCGAGGAGGAAGGUGGUGAACUUAAUACGCUCAUCAAUUGACGUUACUCGCAGAAGAAGCACCGGCUAACUCCGUGCCAGCAGCCGCGGUAAUACGGAGGGUGCAAGCGUUAAUCGGAAUUACUGGGCGUAAAGCGCACGCAGGCGGUUUGUUAAGUCAGAUGUGAAAUCCCCGGGCUCAACCUGGGAACUGCAUUUGAAACUGGCAAGCUAGAGUCUCGUAGAGGGGGGUAGAAUUCCAGGUGUAGCGGUGAAAUGCGUAGAGAUCUGGAGGAAUACCGGUGGCGAAGGCGGCCCCCUGGACGAAGACUGACGCUCAGGUGCGAAAGCGUGGGGCAGCAAACAGGAUUAGAUACCCUGGUAGUCCAGCGCUGUAAAACGAUGUCGAUUUUGGAGGUUGUGCCCUUGAGGCGUGGCUUCCGGAGCUAACGCGUUAAAUCGACCGCCUGGGGAGUACGGCCGCAAGGUUAAAACUCAAAUGAAUUGACGGGGUC